AUCAAAUUUUAUUUCUUUUCUCCUUCUCUCGCGUUAUAACUCCCGAAUCGACAAAGUAAGAAGAUGGAAUUGAAGGAUAUGGAAUCAGAGGAGGUUGGGGUCGGAGGAGAUUGAAUCGGCGGAGGAGAUAUGGAAUCAGAGGAGGUUGCGAUUAGAAGCCGUGGCAGAUGUAAACAAAGCAAUUGAGUUGGAUCCUUCACUGACCAAAGUUUAUCUAAGAAUAGGGAUUUGAUGUUGAUUUCUGCAACCAUACGUAUAAUGGGAUAAUGCCGGGUGGAUGUAGUCCCUAUGACAAACUCUUUGCAAAGGCUGGACUCCAUUGUUACAAUCUUGAAAAGGGAAAGAAGUUAGAAUUCAAGAGUCUAGUCAAAGUUAACUCAGAAAUCGGUUCACUUUACAAUUCUUAUUCAACAUCCGAGGUGAUGGAUCUUAUCAACAACUCAAUUCACACUUUCCAAACUUUAGUCACGGAUGCAGGGUAUGAGAGAACAAAGCGCGUUUGAUACUCGUCACAAAAAUAUGCAGGAUCAAGCCUCAAGUGCCAGGCAUUGGAGAUGCCACUGUCUUUUGGGACUUGGAUGCUAUAGAUAACUUCUAUAAAGGUGAUAUGCCAGAUUGGCCACAAAAUGAUGAUAAGUUACAGUUCUAUGAGGUGAAAUGAAUUAGAGUUGCGAGUGCAGAGGCAUAGUAAGAAGAACAAGUGAUGGAAAAACAGGACAUAUGUGCCGUGAAGCAGGGUAAGGUAAAAUUUAGUGAAGGAGUUGGGGCAAAUCAGUAUUACAAUUAAUCAUUUUCUCUAUUUAUGAAUUGCACUUCUAUUAUAAAAUGUAUUAUGUUUAUUUUAUGUUUUGUAUGCUUAAAAAUUAAUUAAAUGUAAUAUUUUCCCAUUUUUAUAACAUCUUAAAUGUCUAAUCAUUUAUACUA